GUUGCUGUGGCCGAGUGGUUUAGGCGAUAGACUUGAAAUCUUUUUUGAUUUUCCCGCGCAGGUUCGAAUCCUGCCGACAACG
rnacentral:tRNA from 1 species